UGUCUUUGAUAGGAUGACCUUAGUUGUAA
rnacentral:sRNA from 1 species